GACGAACGCUGGCGGCGUGCUUAACACAUGCAAGUCGAACGGAAAGACCCUGCUUUUGUGGGGUGCUCGAGUGGCGAACGGGUGAGUAACACGUGAGUAACCUGCCCUUGACUUUGGGAUAACUUCAGGAAACUGGGGCUAAUACCGGAUAGGAGCUCCUGCUGCAUGGUGGGGGUUGGAAAGUUUCGGCGGUUGGGGAUGGACUCGCGGCUUAUCCGCUUGUUGGUGGGGUAGUGGCUUACCAAGGCUUUGACGGGUAGCCGGCCUGAGAGGGUGACCGGCGACAUUGGGACUGAGAGACGGACCAGACUCCUACGGGAGGCAGCAGGGGGGAAUAUUGCACAAUGGGCGGAAGCCUGAUGCAGCAACGCCGCGUGCGGGAUGACGGCCUUCGGGUUGUAAACCGCUUUCGCCUGUGACGAAGCGUGAGUGACGGUAAUGGGUAAAGAAGCACCGGCUAACUACGUG
rnacentral:rRNA from 1 species